CGGUCACGUUCGUUGCAUUCAAUAAAUGUAUAUAUAAAGUUAAGAGGAAUAAAUAACUAAAUUAAUAGAAAUAAACUCAAACUCUAAUUUUUAUAUAACAUGUUUAAUCUGAAGCGCAAUUAAGCAGACAGAUCACUCCACGAACUAAAAACGGCCAUGCACCACCUAUCACAUAAUCAUGAAAGGACUAUCAUAUUUGCAUUAUUAGUAAUAAAUUACUAAUAAUUAUCACCUGUCAAUCCCUAAUGUGUACGGACCUGGUAAGGUAUCCCGUGUUGAGUCAAAUUAAGCCACAUGCUCCACGCGUUCUUGUGGUGCCCUU
rnacentral:rRNA from 1 species